UACGGAGGGUGCAAGCGUUAUCCGGAUUCACUGGGUUUAAAGGGUGCGUAGGCGGGUAGGUAAGUCAGUGGUGAAAUCUUCGAGCUUAACUCGGAAACUGCCUUUGAUACUAUCUAUCUUGAAUAUUGUGGAGGUAAGCGGAAUAUGUCAUGUAGCGGAUGAAAUGCUUAGAUAUGACAUAGAACACCUAUUGCGAAGGCAGCUUACUACGCAUAUAUUGACGCUGAGGCACGAAAGCGUGGGGAUCAAACAGG
rnacentral:rRNA from 1 species